CUCAGGGAUUUGGGGAGUAGGGUAAACAAAACCUACUUGGAAAAGAAUUGGGGAAGAAAACCAACAACUGCCUUAUGCAGGGGUGGGGACAGGGAAGGAGGAAAGGGAACGUGGCUGGGAGGAGGCAAUAGCCCCUUCCUUUCUGGGCACAGGAAGGCAGCCAGGGCACCAGGUCCAGGCAGUGACCUCACAAGGACAGC
rnacentral:lncRNA from 1 species